rnacentral:rRNA from 1 species
UACGGGGGGGGUAAGCGUUGUUCGGAAUUACUGGGCGUAAAGGGCUCGUAGGCGGCCAACUAAGUCAGACGUGAAAUCCCUCAGCUUAACUGGGGAACUGCGUCUGAUACUGGAUGGCUUGGAUUCGGGAGAGGAAUGCGGAAUUCCAGGUGUAGCGGUGAAAUGACGUAGAUAUCUGGAGGAACACCGGUGGCGAAGGCGGCAUUCUGGACCGACAUUGACGCUGAGGAGCGAAAGCCAGGGGGAGCAA